rnacentral:rRNA from 1 species
AGUGAACGCUGGCGGUAGGCCUAACACAUGCAAGCCGAACGGCAGCACAGUAAGAUCUUGCUCUUACGGGUGGCGAGUGGCGGACGGGUGAGGAAUACAUCGGAAUCUACUUUUUCGUGGGGGAUAACGUAGGGAAACUUACGCUAAUACCGCAUACGACCUACGGGUGAAAGCAGGGGAUCUUCGGACCUUGCGCGAUUGAAUGAGCCGAUGUCGGAUUAGCUAGUUGGCGGGGUAAAGGCCCACCAAGGCGACGAUCCGUAGCUGGUCUGAGAGGAUGAUCAGCCACACUGGAACUGAGACACGGUCCAGACUCCUACGGGAGGCAGCAGUGGGGAAUAUUGGACAAUGGGCGCAAGCCUGAUCCAGCCAUACCGCGUGGGUGAAGAAGGCCUUCGGGUUGUAAAGCCCUUUUGUUGGGAAAGAAAAGCAGCAGGUUAAUACCCAGCUGUUCUGACGGUACCCAAAGAAUAAGCACCGGCUAACUUCGUG